rnacentral:rRNA from 1 species
UACCAGCACCCCGAGUGGUCGGGACGAUUAUUGGGCCUAAAGCAUCCGUAGCCGGUUCUACAAGUCUUCCGUUAAAUCCACCUGCUCAACAGUUGGGCUGCGGAGGAUACUAUAGAGCUAGGAGGCGGGAGAGGCAAGCGGUACUUAGUGGGUAGGGGUAAAAUCCGUUGAUCCAUUGAAGACCACCAGUGGCGAAGGCGGCUUGCCAGAACGCACUCGACGUGAGGGAUGAAAGCUGGGGGAGCAACCGG